UGCAGUCAUGACAUCAGCUAUUGGCACGGGCAAGCCUAGGGACCGCCAACCCUGCAGUCAGUGCUCUUUCCACUUGCCGGCUGUCUCUGCAAUGUGCUUCUGACAAUCAGCCCAUUCUUUCUCUGCCUGGUCCAUGACUUAAAACAAGUCAGCCAAGUGCAAAGGGAAAUGGAAAGUCUGCCUGGAACCAGCAGAGCAAAACUAUUAAUACAAAGUGAGCUUGGUAGAUGUUGUUGAGGACAUCCAGUACCUCCAUCAUCUUUCCCUUCCAGUGGCUCCUGGCUACACACUCCACUCAGUUGUCACAUUCUCUUCUUAAAUACCUAGUAUAGGCUAUGAGGCUCAUUCAUACUGAGGUAUGAAUAAGGACUAGCACUUAAAGGGUUACUCUUUACAGCUCUUCAAUAGUGUAUUACAAAUGUUAUUGUCUUAAGCAAAAUGAAGAAGGACCUAAUGAACAACUUCAACCUUCUUACUUAACUAGGAUGUGGGGUAUUUUGGGAGUGAAGAUGCUAUGGAGAACUUUCCUGGUGCCUGAAAUUACGCAAGGAGCAAAUCUGGAAGCCAUCCACAGUGAUGUUUUCAUGAGCCACACUGGUGACGGGCAGAGCAGUCAAGGCCACCCUGCAGGUGGAGAGAGGCUUCCUACUUUCUGAUGCCUUCGCAGCUUCACUCAGGACCAUCAAAGAUACAACUCUUAGACUUUAUGGGGGCAGGAAAUCUCGACCUCAGAAACCUCAGAGACUUUGAGGGUCUCCCACCAUGGACCAUGUAUCAAGUGGAACUAAAAUUUUCCCUUAGGGCAGUUCCACACACUCUGAAGGUCCAACGUGUCUGUCAGUUACCUGGUGGGUCUCACCCACCUCCCUCUCUAACCCUGCCCCAGGGUUGAAGUAGAGCUGCACCUGAUUUAAAGUUUUCACAGCUACCCUGAGCACCCACAGACCUCCUGCAAGGUUGAAGGAGAUGAGCUUCUGACUUAAUCAUGUCACUGUAGUCCUUCCACAGUAAAUAGAGGAAUCCAUUUCCCAAAAGAUUCCGGCUGGAUUUGAAGUAGUCCAGGCGGGCUAUGGGCUCACAAUCCACCCAAAAGAUGUCAGGUGCUGUGGGUUCCUGAAGAGUCAUGGAGGGCAGGGAGUUUGUCCAGGAAGGAGCAAACCAUCUGAUCCCCCGGGCCUUUCUUGACAGAGUUCAGACUCAGUAACCAUCCCCGCAAGCCCAGCUCCACCUCUAGACAUUUAGGUGAAGAAUUGAACAGCCAAUGAAGGAAGUUUCCUGAACCUUCCUCUCCCAGGUAUUCACCUCUGUCACAACCACCUCUCCCUCCUUCCAGUUCCUUCUCUGCACAGAUGCCCCCCUCAACCAACCCCCAGGCUUUUUAGCAGCUUAGGGUUUCCCAUCUCUUCUGCUCCACUGUACUGCACUCUCUUCUACGGUGGGUUUUUAAGUAGCAUACCUAAUUAAUUUUUAAACAAAAUCUCCUGUGAACCCCCAGGAGCUGUGAGAUACUAGGAUGAAGAUGUCUUCAUUGGGUUUUAGUCUUUAGUGUUUUCAGCUCCCGAACACAACACCCUGGUUUCUGUCCCAGACCACUGAGUGGAUGCUGGUAAUUCAUAAAGUAGGGAACACAGGAAGAAGAACAGGUUUAGAGGAGGGUGAAGAGGAUGACAUGAUGAGAAACGAGGAGUUGCAUUUGGAGCAUGCUUGGCUUGAGGCUAAAAAAUUGAAUCUAACCCAGAUGCAGGUCAAAAACUCACAGAGAGACCUGAGCUGGAGCCACACAUGUAGUGGGGAUAAGUGUGCAAAAAGCACCUGCUCUAUAACUGCACUGAAUUUCUUCUUCAAGUCCUCAUUCAAAUAGGUAGUAGACAUUAAAUCUCAGUCAUUUAGAGGCUCCCAUCACUGGGGUUGGGGUGGGUGGUACUUAGUGCCAGACACGAGGGCUGACACUUUUCCCUACUACUGGCACCUACUGAGAUUAUAUUGUAUAAUUUGGUCUGAGAUCACAGAUUUUAAAAGGUUGCAACAUCCCCUUUACACAGUCUCAAUGUCUUUCUCUCUUUUAAAACAAAUUUCCCUCUCCCUUCUAUUCCCAUUCUCUACUUUUAUGGACUGAAUUGUGCCUGCCUCCCUGCCCACUCCCAAAAUUCAUAUGUUGAACCCCUUGGCCCCAAUAUGACUACUGCAUUUGGAGACAGAGCCUUUACAAAGGUCAUUCGGAGCCGAGCAUGGUGGUUCAUGCCUGUAAUCCCAGAACUUUGGAAGGCUGAGGCAGGUGGAUCACUUGAGGUUAGGAGUUAAAGACCAGCCUGGCCAACAUGGUGAAACCCUGUCUCUGCUAAAAAAAUACAAAAAUCAGCAGGGUGUGGUGGUGCAUGCUUUUGAUCCCAGCUACUCGGGAGGCUGAGACAGGAGAAUUGCUUGAACCUGAGAGGCAAAGGUUGCAGUGAGCUGAGAUCCUGCCACUGCACUCCAGCCUGGGCAACAAAGCGAGAAAAAAAAAAAAGAACUAAACAAAAAGGUAACUAGGGUUAUAUGAAGUCAUAGAAUAGGGCCCUAAUCCAGUAGGAUUGCUAUCCUUAUCAGAAGAGGGAAACACACACAGAGAAAAGGCCAUAGGAGGACACAGUGAGAAGGUGGCCAUCUGCAAGCCAAGGAGAGAGACCUCACUAGAAACUAACCCUACUGGCACCUUGGUCUUGGACUUCCAGCCUCCAGAACAGUGAGAAAAUAAAUUUCUG
rnacentral:lncRNA from 1 species